UACGAGGGGUGCAAGCGUUGCUCGGAAUUAUUGGGCGUAAAGGGUAGGUAGGUGGUCUCAUUUGUCAGGGGUGAAAGCCUUGGGCUUAACUCAAGAAGUGCCCCUGAAACGGUGAGACUGGAGUCUUGGAGAGGGUCGUGGAAUUCCCGGUGUAGCGGUGAAAUGCGUAGAGAUCGGGAGGAACACCGAUUGCGAAGGCAGCUCGCUGGGACGUAACUGACGCUGAGACGCGAAAGCGUGGGGAGCAAACAGG
rnacentral:rRNA from 1 species